UAUCUAUUUUUAUAAAGUUGCAUACAUUUGUAAAUACAAACUAAAUCUGUUCAUACCAUGACUGUUUCUUGCGAAUUUCUGCUCAAAUUCCUUUUUAUUUGGUCUGACAUAAGUGGAGGGAUGAUAAAUCUGACCCUCAGGGGAAUUAGGAUUCAGGAUAAGGAAGCAGAAGUGGUCACGUUAAGGUAAUUGGAAACUGGAUAAAUCAUUUCCACGAAACCAGUAUUUUAGCUCUAACAAUAAAUUGUUCAAAUAUCUUUCAAAGGGCGGUGCUGCUCCGUAAUGCACCACCCUGACAUUGCCCUUGGUCUAACCUGCCUUCAAGACAGUAAUGGUUGUCUCCCCCAAAUGGAAAUCCUAGUCCUAUGAGCCAGCCCUUUUCUGCCUUGACCUGGGCUCCUCCUAGUUCUUGGUAGCUUGGGUUUCUCCAAAUAACUCAAAAUAUGUCAUUUUUCUUUGUAAUCUCACUGGGGUUUGCAGCGAUGGAAGAACUAUUUUGGAAACAAAGAGAUAUUCUAGUUUUAAGAUUUCUAAAGGAACUGCUAGGAUGAUGUUUAAUGCCUCAAGAAGUGGGUGUUCAACCUUUAAAUUCUACCACCAAUGCUUUUGAUGGCGGCCCCACAGAUUUAUCUCAGUAAUUUCCCAGGGAAGGGUGGUUGUCGAAUAGAAGCCUGAGGAUAAGUUAGAUUGUUGAAGAACCUUGGACACUUUGUGAGCAACAAAGGAAUAAAAAUUAAGGAUUUCGUGCUCAAAGAUAUCUUGCUUAUGUCCACCUUAUGGGUUAAUAUCAACUAACAAAGUUCCUCAUCAUCCUUUUGAACGACUGUUCCAUACAUAUCAGAAGUCUUAACUUGUGUUAAUAGAAAUGAAGGACUCCACCCAUUUUCAUAAAGCAUCUAAGUUUCUUGUUUAAUGCUUCUUUGUUUGGAAGCAUGUCUAGAGUAGAAGGUACAAGCCAUAUGGUAGUAUAGUUAAGUAUAGUGGUGAUUCUCAUCACUGCAGACCUAGGAAGGGGAUGGGGAUGGUUUAGUUCAAACUUGUCAUAUAACCUUCCCAUCAGAUGUGUUGUUGGUUACUAAGCACUUGAGAAGGUUCAGACUAUACUUAUCCAAAAAAAAAAAAAAAAAAAAAGAAGGUUCAGACUAACAUUUACUGAUUUUUAAACUAUGCACGAAGAAUGAGAUACAAAUUGACUGAAUCAGCAUCUCUUUCAUUCAAUAAUGCCUUGCUAGCAAAAUCACAUGACCUGAAACUUAGGGAAAGAUCUCAACUGUCGUUGUUUUCUAACAUGAAUCAUAUUCGAAGUAUGUGAUGAACACUUUUUGGCUAGGACAUUGUCUCCAUUUGUAGUUUGGCUUGCAUCCUUUUCCCCAACCUCACCAGGGACAUUAAAACAUAAGAAUUAAAUGAGUUGAAUACUCAGUAAAUUGAUACAUCACACAGCCAAUAAGGUAGAAAUAAGUUUGUUUUUAAAGAAACAUUCAGACAUUUUAAGAAGACACUCAAAUGUUUCACCAACCUUUUUCCUUUAAUCUCUUAAGUGGACAGCACACACUUAUGCUGUGUCUAAUCCCAAGGAUCACAGUUUCGUUCUUGUGACCACAGGUGGAACAUCCUUUAAGAUAUGGAUAUCACUCGAUAACUUGGGUGUUCUGGACUUCCUGUGUCAAUCCCUGUGGACCAUACAAGAUGGCUGCCCUUACCUCUUCUUUAUCUCUGAUAUCACCGUUCAUCAAUCAUAAGGCCAAGAAAACGAUUUAAGUCAUUUGCAUAAAUUCCAAACAAUCACAUUGGCUUCCUUUCCUUUCCUCUCUUUCUUUUCCUUUGCUUUUUCAUCAUGUCAUAUAAUUAUAGCAUUUCAUCUCUUUUUCAAAUGGUAUUGGAUGCAUAAAAAGGGCUACCUAGGGUGGCUACAUAACACCAUAAUACAUGCAUAAUCUUUUUUUUUUGAUAAAUUAAUACAUGCAUAAUCUUAGAGAGACAUUACAUUUUCAUUCGAAGAAAUAAAGGUAUGAUCAUAUCUAAUUACCUUGUUUUCAUAGCUUGCACAAUAUCACCACUUCUUUUGCAGCCUAGGGAUAUCUAUUAAUAUCAAACCUUUUUACUCUUGCUAACGCAUAAAAUCCCUUUCAUACAUGCUUUUGUAGACAUGGACAGAUCCGAUUUCCUUGAUUUCAACUUGUGUUUUCAAAGAAAAUUCAUGAAUAAGAACUUGGUAUCAAGUUGACAAUGAUGGCCUAACUUCUAUGGAUGUUAAGGUCCUUGAAAAGUCUCCUAUGGUUGCUGUUUCACCCCUUAGAAACUUUCUACAACCACCUUAGUAUUCUGUCUCCUGAUCGAAUAGUGUUAGGUGUCAAAUGUAAAGAGCAUGCAUAUGUCAUUGUUUAAAUGGCUAAAAAAUCUACUAUGCUAGGGCUGAUGGUAAUUUAUUUUUGUAGUCUCUGUAAAGCCUCUGUUCAGGUCUGCUUUUGGGCCUAAGACCUUUUCAUGGGCCUAAAAGUGCGAUCUUAGGCCUAAAAUUGCUAAGUUUUCGUGUGCAUGAGUGUGUGUGUGUGUGUGUGUGUUUAGGCUGCAUAAUUAGCCUCGUGAUUUCAGUCUAGAGAAAACUUUCUUGGUAUUCGAUUUAAGGGGCAAGGCGUUAAAAACCCUAGGGAUACUUUAGUAUUAGAGAGGUGGUGCUAUCAAAUUGUUAAAGCAGUGAAAAUCCCUCUAGGGAAGGGAAGUUAUCUGUACGUUCCUUUUAGGAGGCCACGGCCAUUCAGGAUAACAAUCUUUUUCAUUGAUGGAGCAUUUGAAGGAGUAAGGCAGCAUGUGCAGAAAAAGUGGAGAAACAAUGGGUCACUGGCUACUUCAUUGUGAUGUCACCAAGGCAUUGUGGGAUGAUUUUUCAAUAGAGUUUUACUUGCAGUGGUUGUGAUCUCCUUGCCAACUGGAGAGGUCUUUAUGGCAUCCCGCAAAUUGCAGCAAUAUGGAAGAUGGUUCCCAUAUGUCUACUAUGAUGAGGGAAUGGAAUGACCAGAAAUUUGAAGAUAAGGAAUGCUCUCUGGAAGAACCUAGAAGUCUCUUUUUCAAUACGUUGUUUCUCUGGGCAAUAGCUAUAGACUUCAGUGGGCUCAAUUUUGAUGGUUUCCUUGUUUCUAUUUCUAGAUCCUGACUAGGUGUUUUCUCUUGUAUACGCCUAUUCCUAUGACAGCAUUAAUAAAUUGCGUUUACUUGUAAAGGCAACUGUUUUAGUUUGCAGGAAAUCGAAGUAUAACAAUUUUUGAUGCC